AACGAACGCUGGCGGCAUGCCUAACACAUGCAAGUCGAACGAGACCUUCGGGUCUAGUGGCGCACGGGUGCGUAACGCGUGGGAAUCUGCCCUUGGGUUCGGGAUAACAGUUGGAAACGACUGCUAAUACCGAAUGAUGACUUCGGUCCAAAGAUUUAUCGCCCAGGGAUGAGCCCGCGUCGGAUUAGCUAGUUGGUGAGGUAAAGGCUCACCAAGGCGACGAUCCGUAGCUGGUCUGAGAGGAUGAUCAGCCACACUGGGACUGAGACACGGCCCAGACUCCUACGGGAGGCAGCAGUGGGGAAUAUUGGACAAUGGGCGAAAGCCUGAUCCAGCAAUGCCGCGUGAGUGAUGAAGGCCUUAGGGUUGUAAAGCUCUUUUACCCGGGAUGAUAAUGACAGUACCGGGAGAAUAAGCCCCGGCUAACUCCGUGCCAGCCGCCGCCGUAACAC
rnacentral:rRNA from 1 species